UGGAAAUGCAGCAGUUUUUGCCAAAUGCCUGAGCACUACGACUGAGUAACGGCUCCAUGGUUAAGGUGGAACUAACAGCCAGAUUUCUGCCACGAUUCUUUCGGAUCGCGGCAGGGCACUCCCCGGGCAGGAGGCGAACCCGCUCCUCCGCCCACAACUGGCCUCCUUGCUAAGCGGCCGCGCCGGCUGCGGUGGCCUCGCGGCUUGUACUCGGGGCAGAGAUUCCGGAACCGCGGCCGACUUCUCCGUCCGGCGGCAGACGGGCGGCAUGACCGCAGGAAGCCCCGGAGCUGUCAGAGCCCUGACACCACCAGGGUGCAUAAUAAAUGAAGACUGCCAGGCUCAACAAGGUGGAUAUUAGUGCAACCAGCUGUGCUUUGGCUUGUGGGCUCACAAGGGAAGAAAGUGUUCCAGCUGCAGGAGAAGGAGUGCUUUCUCAUCUUUUUCUCAAGCAGCCUAUGGAUAACCUGGAGAAGAGCCAGGACUUGUCUUUUUCUGGAAACGUAGCUGCAGGAAGAAUGAAUCACCAGGUGGAACCUGUAUAACCAACUGAAAACAAAAGCUCAAACUUUUGUGUCUCACGGUUGCAAAUAAUGGGGGGAAAAAUAGGCAUCCUGUUUUGAAAUCCAUUACCAGCUGACAGGACAAAAACAUUGCAUGCAAGAUUGUGUUUUAAAGCUGACAAAUAAUAUAAGACUAUGGCCAUUUAAGGAAAAAAACUGAAGCAAAACAGCAGUUAGAGAAAUAGAAAAUUUCAAUCUUUUUGGGGGAAAAAAACCAACCAAAAAACAGUGAGAUUGUUCAGAACAAAUAAGGUGAAUUUUCGCUAGCCCUAAAUUUUCAUACUUUCAAAUCUUCUGUAUUACGGCUAGCAGAGAACACAUGCAAACUAGGGCCAGAAGCCUGUGUUUCAGAGCAUAAGACAGACUGCAGUGCUAGUGUCAUUGAUUAAAUCUGUCCUUUUGCCUCUGCAGCAAUCUAAGAUGUCAUUGCAGGCAAUGUGGAGGCUUUCCAGCUAGCAUGCAAGCAUCUGGAUCACUGUAGGGAUAUCAACAGCACAAAACGUGUUUCCUUACCUUGGCUUCUCUUUUCUGAUCCUACCUUCAUUUGUGUCUUAAGGUAAAAUAAAACUAGCUUCACAGUUAUCAAAGACUAACGUAGAGUUAACAGAGACUUAGGACCUGAGAAGAGAAUUCUAGAUGUGCUGAAGCCAAGAAAAAUUGAGGCCUGCAAAGCUGUACUUUGUGUACUCUUGGGCAGAGGACUACUAUUUUGAUGUACCAAAUGUUAGAAAUAGCUGUUACUGCAGGACAUGAUACAAAUUUCCUAUGAGGAAAAGGAAAAUGCUUUCCAGUAUUUUAACACAAACAUUAACAUAGAUGCAAGAAAAGUCAAAUUACACGAGUAAGCCCUGCAAUAAGUUUGUUUAGAGCAAAGUUCUGAAGGUUUAAUUCCAACCUCAGGCCAUCAAAGUCUGGAGCACUUCCUAUUAGCUUUAAGGUACCUGAAAUUACUUAGACUUGACUCUUGCUUCUUCUUUACUGUCUUCUAAAGAAUGGAGAAGAAAACCACUGCCAAUACCAUUACAAAUAACAUUAAAACUCCCAUAGUUUUAGUAAACCUGGAUUCUGCUUCAUUGUAACAACCUCCGCACUGAGGCAGGUGCUCUUUUAUCUGUAAGAAUGCUAUAGCUGUUGUCUGCCUGUCCAUAUAAUUGUGGGUUUUUAAAAAAAGUUAGUUGUUGUUAACUUAGUUUUAAAUUAAUACAGUGCAUUGCUUGCACUGUAAUUGCCUCUCCAGUUAUAUAACACUGUGCCUAUGCAGCAUAUUAGAAACGUGGCCAUCUAACAUUAAGCCUCUAGGUCCAUACUCAAGACUCCAAAAAAGUGUGCUUUUUGCAGCAUUUUCCCCGCCCUAGUAUUCCACACACAAGACGUGUUACUGUGGCCCACAACCAUCAACUAGCUGCAAUAAGUACAGAAGGAGGAGGACGGGAAGCACAGUACUGCAGUAUGAUUUCCUUACCACAGCCCUACGCUCACCAGAGCACUGCUGAGGCAGCCCUUCCCAAUAGCCACCCAUCUGCACACCGAUGCCCACUCAUUCACUUAUCAGUUGUGCUUCAGUGGCUUAGAGACUCUCCCGUCACAAGACCUGACCUGUGGCGUCAUAGCGUGGAAGUCCAUUGACUGGUAACGUGGGUAAGGCUGUAGGUCUGUGGACAUCUGAAAGUGCAGCAGUAAGUGGAGGAGUUUUCCAGGAUAUGAGGUGCAGCUGGAACUGCAGUGGUUGUUUAUGAAGAAGAGCUUACUCAUUUUGCUUUUUGUUCCUUAAUUAAAACUUCAGAAUAAUGUCAGCUUUCAGACGCACAAGGCCUUUGAGAGAACAGUCAUGUAACUCCACUAAAAGCAAAGUGAUCUUUCCGUAACAAGAUGUUUUAAUA